UGGGGAAUUUUGGACAAUGGGCGAAAGCCUGAUCCAGCAAUGCCGCGUGUGUGAAGAAGGCCUUCGGGUUGUAAAGCACUUUUGUCCGGAAAGAAAUCCUUGGCUCUAAUACAGUCGGGGGAUGACGGUACCGGAAGAAUAAGCACCGGCUAACUACGUGCCAGCAGCCGCGGUAAUACGUAGGGUGCAAGCGUUAAUCGGAAUUACUGGGCGUAAAGCGUGCGCAGGCGGUUUGCUAAGACCGAUGUGAAAUCCCCGGGCUCAACCUGGGAACUGCAUUGGUGACUGGCAGGCUAGAGUAUGGCAGAGGGGGGUAGAAUUCCACGUGUAGCAGUGAAAUGCGUAGAGAUGUGGAGGAAUACCGAUGGCGAAGGCAGCCCCCCUGGGCCAAUACUGACGCUCAUGCACGAAAGCGUGGGGAGCAAACAGGAUUAGAUACCCUGGUAGUCCACGCCCUAAACGAUGUCAACUAGUUGUUGGGGAUUCAUUUCCUUAGUAACGUAGCUAACGCGUGAAGUUGACCGCCUGGGGAGUACGGUCGCAAGAUUAAAACUCAAUGAAUUGACGGGGUCAUAGCUGUUUCCU
rnacentral:rRNA from 1 species